AUUGAACGCUGGCGGCGUGCUUAACACAUGCAAGUCGAGCGGCAGCGGGCCCGCAAGGGUGCCGGCGAGCGGCGGACGGGUGAGCAAUACAUAGGAAUUUUCCCAGAGGCGGGGGAUAGCCCGGCGAAAGCCGGAGUAAUACCGCCUGAUGUCGAAAGACCAAAGUAGGGGACCGUAAGGCCUUACACCUUUGGAUGAGCCUAUGUCGGAUUAGCUAGUUGGCGGGGUAACGGCCCACAAAGGCAACGAUCCGUAGCUGGUCUGAGAGGACGAUCAGCCACACCGGAACUGAGACACGGUCCGGACUCCUACGGGAGGCAGCAGUGGGGAAUAUUGGACAAUGGGCGAAAGCCUGAUCCAGCGACGCCGCGUGGGUGAAGAAGGCCUUCGGGUUGUAAAGCCCUUUAAGCCGGGACGAAAAAAUCGGCGAUAACAUCGCCGGUCUUGACGGUACCGGAAGAAUAAGCACCGGCUAACUCUGUGCCAGCAGCCGCCGUAAAAC
rnacentral:rRNA from 1 species